rnacentral:tRNA from 1 species
GGCGUAAUAACUUAAUUGGCAGAGUAAUGGACUACGAAUUCAUUAAUGUAAGUUCGACUCUUACUUACGCCU